UACGGAAGGGGCAAGCGUUGUUCGGAAUCAUUGGGCGUAAAGGGCGCGUAGGUGGUCGGGUAUGUCGACCGUGAAAGCCCACGGCUCAACCGUGGUGUGUCGGUGGAAACUGCCCGACUUGAGGCUGGGAGGGGCUGGUGGAAUUCCCCGUGUAGCGGUGAAAUGCGUAGAGAUGGGGGAGAACACUCGUGGCGAAGGCGGCCAGCUAGACCAGCACUGACACUGAGGCGCGAUAGCGUGGGGAGCAAACAGG
rnacentral:rRNA from 1 species